rnacentral:rRNA from 1 species
AUACGUAGGGUGCAAGCGUUAAUCGGAAUUACUGGGCGUAAAGCGUGCGCAGGCGGUUAUGCAAGACAGGUGUGAAAUCCCCGAGCUCAACUUGGGAACUGCAUUUGUGACUGCAUGGCUAGAGUACGGUAGAGGGGAGUGGAAUUCCGCGUGUAGCAGUGAAAUGCGUAGAUAUGCGGAGGAACACCGAUGGCGAAGGCAGCUCCCUGGACCUGUACUGACGCUCAUGCACGAAAGCGUGGGGAGC